GCACAAGCGGUGGAGCAUGUGGUUUAAUUCGAAGCAACGCGAAGAACCUUACCAGGUCUUGACAUCCCCUGACAACCCAAGAGAUUGGGCGUUCCCCUUCGGGGGACAGGGUGACAGGUGGUGCAUGGUUGUCGUCAGCUCGUGUCGUGAGAUGUUGGGUUAAGUCCCGCAACGAGCGCAACCCUUAUCCCCAGUUGCCAUCAGGUAAAGCUGGGAACUCUGGGGAGACUGCCGGUGAUAAACCGGAGGAAGGCGGGGAUGACGUCAAGUCCUCAUGGCCCUUACAUCCCGGGCUACACACGUGCUACAAUGGCAGGUACAGAGGGCUGCGAAGCCGCGAGGUGGAGCGAAUCCCAGAAAACCUGUCUCAGUCCGGAUUGAAGUCUGCAACUCGACUUCAUGAAGGCGGAAUCGCUAGUAACCGCGAAUCAGCAGGUCGCGGUGAAUACGUUCCCGGGCCUU
rnacentral:rRNA from 1 species